rnacentral:rRNA from 1 species
CCUACGGGCGGCUGCAGUGGGGAAUUUUGGACAAUGGGGGCAACCCUGAUCCAGCCAUGCCGCGUGCGGGAAGAAGGCCUUCGGGUUGUAAACCGCUUUUGUCAGGGAAGAAAUCUUCCGAGCUAAUACCUUGGGAGGAUGACGGUACCUGAAGAAUAAGCACCGGCUAACUACGUGCCCGCAGCCGCGGUAAUACGUAGGGUACAAGCGUGAAUCGGAAUUACUGGACGCGAAGCGGCAACAGGCGGGUGAAAGCCCCGGGCUUAACCUGGGAACUGCACUUGUGACUGUACGGCUGGAGUACGGCAGAGGGGGAUGGAAUUCCGCGUGUAGCAGUGAAAUGCGUAGAUAUGCGGAGGAACACCGAUGGCGAAGGCAGUCCCCUGGGCCUGUACUGACGCUCAUGCACGAAAGCGUGGGGAGCAAACAGGAUUAGAUACCCGAGUAGUC